AUGAAGUAUCGAGUGACCCAAUUUACAUGUCGUGACAGUUUCUUCUCCAAGAUUCUUCUGUAUGGACUUAAUAAGCACGUAUUCUUCAUUGUAGGUACUCAACAUUGUUAACUACACCAGCUCUUUGGCAUGAAGGAAGACUUAAGGUAUAUUCCUUUCAUCAUCUUGACUCGACCCAUUUACCUAUAAGUCGAUUGAUUUGGGCGGCUAAGCAAUCCAUGGAUAAGCAAUUUUGCAGAACAAAUCAUUAAUCCAAACCAUCCAGUUUUGUUCAGAUGUAAGAUCAAAUACUCAUCCAUUAAUGUCAUUGUUCAACUCAGACAGAGUCAAGUUUUGUAAAGAAAGGUGCCCCGGUAAAGGUAAGUUUUUUUUCUCUAAGUUACGCCAUUCAAACCUAAGUUUUUUUUUCUUAUUUUCCUCUGGUAUGACUGUAAAGUAAGCAUUUUUGUUCUCAAUGUUUGAAUAAAUAGACGGUUAUUUAUUAAAAAUAGUUAUUUCUAUCUAAACAGAUUACGUGGUUCAUGUUCAGGUUACAUGGGUUAAGCGUGUCUAGGUUACUAACUGAGUUUUAGAUAAUUUUCUCUUUGUCAUUUGCUACUUGAUUAAUAUGAGCACACUACUGCUGUUAAAAGUGAACUUACCUAAAAAAUUAUAUAAAACCAGAGCGUUUCAGGUAUUGAUUUCUUUGUAAACCUUAAUAGCGUCUAAACAUGUUGCAAUCACUUUCUGAGGCAACAUCAUCAUCCAUGCAUAGCUCAUUAUUAUCCAAAUCGACCUAUAAAAGUCUGUCUAUUUAAACUUGAUUAAUAUAUGUUAUCAUAAUGCGUCAAGCCGAGUUGUACCUGAUGAUACAAAAUAUUGGCCCAUCAUCCAACCUAUCAAUUUUCCGCCUCUGUGAUAUUGAUUGCUUUUUUGUGUGUUGAUAUGUAACAUGUGGGUGAAGCGGAAUGCCUAGAUAACUUUAAAGGUGACUGGGAGUUUACUUGUGCAUCUAAAAUGGUAAUGAAGCAAAGAGCAUGUAAAAGUGGGAAGAGGAUAAACGGUGGCUACCGACUCUAAAGGUUCCCCAGAUGGUCUAUUAGACGGCACAAGGAGAUGGUUGCUAUUUAAAAAAGGAUUGUUUUACCAACUGGUCAAAGCAGUCCUAGCCAUCAACGCCCAAAUUCUUAUAAAGAUGCAUGUCCUUUCCAAAGGAGAAGCAGGGUUUAAUGAAGAAUUGCCAUUUAAGGGGAAAGAUUUCAUCACUGAAAACGUUUGUUUUGAAAAUUCGGCUCUAGAGAUGUUCUUUUCUUUUUUUAGUUACCUUAAUCUCUACAAAACUUAUUGUUGAGCUACCAAUGUAUAUAACUCUCUUCAUAUACUUGACUUCUUUUUCUCUAGGGUCAGGAUGGAGUAUUUCCAUGCUAGCUGGUGCGGGGACUGUAUGCUAACAAGGUACUACGUGAAUGCCACUGUAUUUUGAGUUGGAAGACUGUGAAUGAAAAAUGAGGAGCUGAGUGAGAAUGGAGAAGAAAUUAUUGAAGAGGG
rnacentral:lncRNA from 1 species